rnacentral:tRNA from 1 species
GCUAGAAUAGCACAGAUGGUAGUGCAUCUGAUUCGUAAUCAGAAGGUCGUGGGUUCGAGUCCCAUUUCUAGCU